AUUGAACGCUGGCGGCAUGCCUUACACAUGCAAGUCGAACGGCAGCACGGGAGCAAUCCUGGUGGCGUGCGGCGAACGGGUGAGUAAUAUAUCGGAACGUGCCCAGUCGUGGGGGAUAACGUAGCGAAAGCUACGCUAAUACCGCAUACGAUCUAUGGAUGAAAGCGGGGGAUCGCAAGACCUCGCGCGAUUGGAGCGGCCGAUAUCAGAUUAGGUAGUUGGUGAGGUAAAGGCUCACCAAGCCGACGAUCUGUAGCUGGUCUGAGAGGACGACCAGCCACACUGGGACUGAGACACGGCCCAGACUCCUACGGGAGGCAGCAGUGGGGAAUUUUGGACAAUGGGCGCAAGCCUGAUCCAGCAAUGCCGCGUGCAGGAUGAAGGCCUUCGGGUUGUAAACUGCUUUUGUACGGAACGAAACGGCGAGCUCUAAUACAGCUUGCUAAUGACGGUACCGUAAGAAUAAGCACCGGCUAACUACGUGCCAGCCGCCGCCGUAA
rnacentral:rRNA from 1 species